rnacentral:rRNA from 1 species
CACCGCGGUUAUACGAGCGGCCCGAGUUGACAGACAUCGGCGUAAAGGGUGGUUAACGCAUAAAAAACUAAGGCCGAACACCUUCACGGCUGUCACACGCAUCCGAAGGUAGGAAGAACCCCUACGAAAGUGGCCUUAACCACUUAUGAAUCCACGAAAGCUAGGAGA